rnacentral:rRNA from 1 species
ACGGGAGGCAGCAGUGAGGAAUAUUGGUCAAUGGGCGGAAGCCUGAACCAGCCAUGCCGCGUGAAGGAUUAAGGCCCUAUGGGUCGUAAACUUCUUUUGUACGGGAGCAAUAAGGUCCACGUGUGGACUGAUGAGAGUACCGUACGAAUAAGCAUCGGCUAACUCCGUGCCAGCAGCCGCGGUAAUACGGAGGAUGCGAGCGUUAUCCGGAUUUAUUGGGUUUAAAGGGUGCGUAGGCGGCUUGGUAAGUCAGCGGUGAAAGCUCGGGGCUCAACUCCGGAACUGCCGUUGAUACUGUCGGGCUUGAAUGCGGAUGCCGUGGGAGGAAUGUGUGGUGUAGCGGUGAAAUGCAUAGAUAUCACACAGAACACCGAUUGCGAAGGCAUCUCACGAAUCCGCGAUUGACGCUGAGGCACGAAAGUGUGGGGAUCAAACAGGAUUAGAUACCCUGGUA